ensembl:rRNA 5S_rRNA 5S ribosomal RNA
GUCUACGGCCAUGACACACUGAAUGUGCCCGAUCUCGUUUGAUCUUGGAAGCUAAGUAGGGUCAGGCCUGGUUAAUACUUGGAUUGGAGAUCACCUAGUAAUACCAGGUGCUAUAGGUG